GACGAACGCUGGCGGCGUGCUUAACACAUGCAAGUCGAACGAUGAAGCCUAGCUUGCUGGGUGGAAGAGUGGCGAACGGGUGAGUAACACGUGAGCAACCUGCCCCGAACUCUGGGAUAAGCACUGGAAACGGUGUCUAAUACUGGAUAUGCAUCAGAGCCGCAUGGUUACUGGUGGGAAAGAUUUAUCGGUUCGGGAUGGGCUCGCGGCCUAUCAGCUUGAUGGUGGGGUAAUGGCUCACCAUGGCGACGACGGGUAGCCGGCCUGAGAGGGUGACCGGCCACACUGGGACUGAGACACGGCCCAGACUCCUACGGGAGGCAGCAGUGGGGAAUAUUGCACAAUGGGCGCAAGCCUGAUGCAGCAACGCCGCGUGAGGGAUGACGGCCUUCGGGUUGUAAACCUCUUUUAGUAGGGAAGAAGCGAAAGUGACGGUACCUGCAGAAAAAGCACCGGCUAACUACGUGCCAGCAGCCGCGGUAAAAC
rnacentral:rRNA from 1 species